rnacentral:rRNA from 1 species
GGGGCGGUCUAAAUGCAAGUCGAGCGGAAACGAGUUAACUGAACCUUCGGGGGACGUUAACGGCGUCGAGCGGCGGACGGGUGAGUAAUGCCUGGGAAAUUGCCCUGAUGUGGGGGAUAACCAUUGGAAACGAUGGCUAAUACCGCAUAAUAGCUUCGGCUCAAAGAGGGGGACCUUCGGGCCUCUCGCGUCAGGAUAUGCCCAGGUGGGAUUAGCUAGUUGGUGAGGUAAUGGCUCACCAAGGCGACGAUCCCUAGCUGGUCUGAGAGGAUGAUCAGCCACACUGGAACUGAGACACGGUCCAGACUCCUACGGGAGGCAGCAGUGGGGAAUAUUGCACAAUGGGCGCAAGCCUGAUGCAGCCAUGCCGCGUGUGUGAAGAAGGCCUUCGGGUUGUAAAGCACUUUCAGCAGUGAGGAAGGUGGUGUCGUUAAUAGCUGCAUCAUUUGACGUUAGCUGCAGAAGAAGCACCGGCUAACUCCGUGCCAGCAGCCGCGGUAAUACGGAGGGUGCGAGCGUUAAUCGGAAUUACUGGGCGUAAAGCGCAUGCAGGUGGUUAGUUAAGUCAGAUGUGAAAGCCCGGGGCUCAACCUCGGAACUGCAUUUGAAACUGGCUGACUAGAGUACUGUAGAGGGGGGUAGAAUUUCAGGUGUAGCGGUGAAAUGCGUAGAGAUCUGAAGGAAUACCGGUGGGCGAAGGCGGCCCCCUGGGACAGAUACUGACACUCAGAUGGCGAAAGCGUGGGGAGCAAACAGGAUUAGAUACCCCUGGUAGUCCACGCCGUAAACGAUGUCUACUUUGGAGGUUGUGGCCCUUGAAGCCGUGGCUUUCGGAAGCUAACCGCGUUAAGUAGACCGCCCUGGGGGAGUACGGUCGCAAGAUUAAAACUUCAAAUGAAUUUGACGGGGGCCCGCACAAGCGGUGGGAGCAUGUGGUUUAAUUCGAUGCAACGCGAAGAACCUUACCUAC